CCUACUCUUAUCACUUGUAAUCCAAAAAAGCUCCAUUUCUUUCUUAUACGCUAAUUCACUAUUAAAUAUAAAUGUAUAUGCAAAACAGCGAGAAAUUUGUAGAUACGUUGGAUGUUGUUGCUUUCACAUUUGCAACUCUUAGUAGUUGUUCAAAACAACAAUGUCGAGCAAAGAUGUUUGCGAUGUUUGAAUGAUUCUUGGAUUGUAUUUGGAUUCCAUCGGUACUAUGGCCUGUUGAUUCGGCACCUUUGUCAUUUUAGCAACUUUUGUUUUCUUUUCUGUGUCGAUGUAGUUCUCUAUACCAUAUUCAUGUUCAUAUCAAUGUCCAUAUCAAGAGGUCCCAUGNUCCAUUACAUAUCCCGUGUUCUUUCCUUCUUCCAGCUUUUACAUGCUAGCCUUUUAUACAAUGAUUCCUCUCAUCUCGACUCGUUUGAUGAAUGGGCGUUUAGUUUUUGCNACAACAUAUGCGUNGGGUUAUCCNCAUAUCGGGAAACACUUUCUGCCACUUUUAACUUGAACAAAGUUUGGAGAAAUAAAGUGAUGGCCAGAUAUUGCCAAGUUGUUUAUGGUGUGCCUGUAAGAAAAUGNAAAAACGCUAUGUUUCNNUGAAUGCCCAGCCUGGAAAUCGAAAAAAAGAUUNCNNAUUUAUCAAGCCNUGGAAAGAUCNCAAUUGGNAAAAAACCGAAACGGGUUGGGCCCCUUCCACANGUCGUUCNCCNGNNAAUCCCCNAAACAUGGAACCCNAAAUUNUNCGGGAACCUUNGGCCCCCAUUAAGGAANAANANCUCCAAGGNGACUGNNNUUAACCNAAAAAACCCNCAAGCCNCUNGAACAUNAACA
rnacentral:sRNA from 1 species